AUGUUCUUCAAGUUCCUGUUCCCGGAGGAAAAAAACACCUAGAGCAAAAAUGCCCAACAAAAUUGCAUUACGAAGUCACCCUUUGCAACGAAUCUGUCAGCAACAAUUAUCGCAGAACCUACAGCCAAGCAGAGCGGUCUUAUAUUCUCCAGGGUUCAGCAAUAUUACGUACAUGUAUCCAGGCUUUGCAGAUCACAGCCCGUUGGCCGAAUUACCUCGUAUGCCAAAACCUUCACCGCAUUCAAGAAGAAUCUUUCGUCUUACAUCACAAACACCGUAUAACUACACCUCUGGAGUUCAAACGAUGUAUCAAUAUGGAGCUAACCCAUACGAAAUCCCGGUCUUCGUUUAUACAGUUUCUUUUUGCGCAGGCAGUUUUAGCACUUUGUGCAUCAAGACGUAAAUCAAUCACUUCUAAUGGCCCAGAAUUUUUUUCAUCGAAGGAAGCAGUUUAGCUACUAAGUUUCGGUAAACCAGAGACAUAUGCAAUCUAUUUAAAUGAAGGAUAGACCAAAGAGUCCAUAGUGCUUACCAAUGGCCGAUAUCGGUACAAGUAACUAAUGGUAAAAAUUCAUCAUUCUUCAUAUGAAACCGUAGGUCAUACAUUUCGUAAUAGUGGGCAUUGCAUAAAAAAUGUCACGUCGACAGAAGAUUUACUUUAAGUUUACAAUAAUCGAGUUCCGUAUCUUUUAAAUAUGGACAUAAAAGUAUAUAUCUAUCUGUUGCUUCCAACAGUGCACUGU